rnacentral:tRNA from 1 species
GGAUUGUGGCUCAGAGGUAGAGCGCUGGCCUAGCACAUGUGAGGCUCUGAGUUCGAUCCUCAGCACCA